UACAGAGGGGGCAAGCGUUGUUCGGAAUUACUGGGCGUAAAGGGCGCGUAGGCGGCCUGUUAAGUCGAACGUGAAAUCCCCGGGCUCAACCCGGGAACUGCGUCCGAUACUGGCAGGCUUGAAUCCGGGAGAGGGAUGCGGAAUUCCAGGUGUAGCGGUGAAAUGCGUAGAUAUCUGGAGGAACACCGGUGGCGAAGGCGGCAUCCUGGACCGAGAUUGACGCUGAGGCGCGAAAGCGUGGGUAGCAAACAGG
rnacentral:rRNA from 1 species